GGUUAUGGCUCAGCGGUAGAGUGCUUGCCUCACACAUGCAAGGCCCUGGUUUCGAUCCUCAGCACCA
rnacentral:tRNA from 1 species